rnacentral:rRNA from 1 species
AGUGAACGCUGGCGGCGUUCCUAAUACAUGCAAGUCGAACGGAGUGGCGAACGGGUGAGUAAUGUAUAGCUAAUCUGCCCUACACUAGAGGCCAACAGUUGGAAUCGGCUGCUAAUACUCUAUAGUGUAGGAUGAGGCUAUAUUGUAUCAGCUAGUUGGUGAGGUAGUGGCUCACCAAGGCUAUGACGCAUAACUGGGCUGAGAGGAUGAUCCGUUGAACUGGAACUGAGACACGGUCAAGACUCCUACGGGAGGGAGCAGUAGGGAAUAUUGCUCAAUGGGGGAGAGCCUGAAGCAGCAACGCCGCGUGGAGGAUGACACUUUUCGGAGCGUAAACUCCUUUUGUUAGGGAAGCGGUACCUAACGAAUAAGCACCGGCUAACUCCGUGCCAGCAGCCGCGGUAAUUC